CGGCUGCAGCCGCCGCCCCGGCGCGGGGCCCGCCAUGGUGAGCGCGCAGCGCUUGGCAAGGCCAGCCAGGGCGGCGGGGUGUCAGCACGCCCGCCCGGCGGCCCGGAGUCCCAUCACGCCCGCCUGGCGGCCCAGAGUCCCGCCCCGCGCCCAGAGCCGGCCAGAGGGCGGGGAACCGAGAACCCCCGCCCUCCGUGCGCCUCCUGCGCCUCGGGGUGGGGCUGGCAGGGCUAUUUGGGCCGCGCAGCUGGAAACCUGGGAACUAGGAUUGUAAUCCUGAAUUCCUAAAUCCAAACUGCAGACUGGUAGUUACCAAAAAAUGUCACAGUAGUUCCUUGAUCAGAUACGAAGAUGACAGAGCCCGACACACCAGGACCUGGAAAGGUAUAUUUCUAAAGAGGUGAAGGAGGGGGUCUAGAGGGAACAGCACUUUGGUCAAAGUAACAGGCGCAUAAAUGCGGAGGAAUGAGGAUACCCGACUUGCUGGAGGAUCAAGGGAAGCGCUGCUGGGUUAGGGUCUCCCCAACCGAGCUGGUCUCAGCAAGUGGCGCCCAAUGUGGGAUCUCGAAUCCAGGCCGAAGGGUCGCCGGAGCCACGGUUGGAAUGGAAAACUAGCUGGAGGACAUCCAAGUACUCUUAAAGUAAUCCCCGUGGCCAAAAUCGACAGCCGAUUUGGAUACCAUCCAGACACCUAAAACCUUAUCAUGAGCCAGAUGCCAAGGAAGAGACUCCAGAAGCAUCCCAAGGACCCCCCAGUUGCAGCCAUGUUGAGACUAACGCUGAGGAGGACCCCAACUGUCACGAGCAACAUGCGUCGAACACAGCCACCCACCUGGGACAGAUCAAGAAGCUGUCACAGAUGGCAGAAGAAAACCUAAGGAAAGCCAGACAACCAGUCACAAUGAAUAAUUUAAUGGUAACUAUGAUAGCGGUUAUCACCACUGCCGUGAGCAUUCCUUCAAUAAGGGCUGGUAAUAAUGCCUGGAUGCAAUCACUCUGACACAGUUACACAUGCUUUCUGAUCUCAGUAUUUACCAUAAUAAAUCUGCCCCUAUAAUUGAGGCAUACUGCCCUUAAAAAUCUAUUUUGUAAACAGGAUUGGACCCAGUUGGAAAAAAUGAACAUACUUGUUUAGGAAGAUUGCAUUGCAGAACAGGCAGAGUUGCUGCACAGUGAUUCCUAUGGGAUCAUUAUUAAUUUGUCCCCUAAGGGGAUGUUUAACUUGAAUUGCACCUCUCAGUCUGCAUGCCACGGUCACACUAUGUUCAGAUGAUCUGAACAAAAUGGUCAGAUGGUAGAAAUUAUAAGAAGUACGGCAAAAGUUCCUAUUAUCUGGAACCAUGGCGAUAUAGUGGUACCUCAACUUCAAAUGAUAUGGCCCGCUCUAGAGCUUAACAUAAGGAUUUGUGGAAACUAUUAAAUGCUCUUAAUAAGAUCAAAAUUUGGGAAAGAAUAAAAAAGCAUCUAGAAGGACACUCUACAAACUUGUUUUUGGAUAUAGCAAAA